rnacentral:lncRNA from 1 species
UAGGGACCUAGGGUUUUUCAUCAUUUCGAAUCCCUAUAUAUAUGUAUCACCACUAUCACAAUCACAAUCCUAUAGGAUUUCUAGUUUCUACUGCGGCGUUAAUUUCUGUCUAACAAAACCCUAAGUUUCGUUCUGUUAUGUCAUCUUACAUUCUGUUUUUCUUAUCGAAACCCUAGUUUGUUUGCCUCUUUGAGUAGUCAUAUGAUUUUGAUUCCGGUUGGGAGCUUCGUUCUGAAUCUUCCAUUCCAUAAUAUCACACCAUGUCGUAUCUUGGCUUAGUUAUGAGGCGUAUAUUGAUUGUUUAUUCCGAGUGUUUUCUUCUUUGAUUCUUUCUUCCUUUCUAUGGUCUGUCCACCAGAUUCCCAAUAAGAAAAGAAGAAGAAGAGAUCUCGGAUAUCAUGUUUUCAUCGCCUCUCGAAUAAUUGGAUGCUGCAAUUUUAUAAUUGAUCGGCAUGCAGUCCAGACGAAGGCGUAAAUUAACACCGUUACUGGUAUUAUGAAUCUUAUCUUUUUUUUCAAGUGAAAGGAAUCUGAUCAAUGAUCCAUCCGUCUUUUCCCAAUUUACGAGAUUCAUACAUUUGAAUGGUUUCGGUUUUUAAUUACAUAAUGCUUUUUUUUUUUUUUUUUUUUUUAAAUAUUAAUAAUAAGCGGGUGUGAAACUUACAGUGAGAUAAAACACUCACUGUAGGAUUAUGAGCACGGAUUAGUUUUUAAUCUCAUUUGAAUAAUAUUUAUUAUCAUUUAUGAUCUAUCCAUAUUUUCUCAAUUGAUGAGAUUCAUACAUUAAAAUGCUUUCGGUUUUUAAUUCCAUAACGUCUGUUUUAAGUUUUUUUUAACGUUUAAUGAAGUUUUGGGGAUAUAAAUUGUGUAAGUAGUAUAGGAUCUGGGAUUCGAUACAACGCACGCUAUGGUAGAUCCUUUGACUGUUGCUGCAGCUGUUACAGGGGCGGUUAUGGGACAGACUGCUUUAUGCUUUCGAUUUAACUCGGUGUUCGAUUUCUU